AUUGAACGCUGGCGGCAGGCCUAACACAUGCGAGUCGAACGGUAACAGAAAGCAGCUUGCUGCUUUGCUGACGAGUGGCGGACGGGUGAGUAAUGUCUGGGAAACUGCCUGAUGGAGGGGGAUAACUACUGGAAACGGUAGCUAAUACCGCAUAACGUCGCGAGACCAAAGAGGGGGACCUUCGGGCCUCUUGCCAUCGGAUGUGCCCAGAUGGGAUUAGCUAGUAGGUGGGGUAACGGCUCACCUAGGCGACGAUCCCUAGCUGGUCUGAGAGGAUGACCAGCCACACUGGAACUGAGACACGGUCCAGACUCCUACGGGAGGCAGCAGUGGGGAAUAUUGCACAAUGGGCGCAAGCCUGAUGCAGCCAUGCCGCGUGUAUGAAGAAGGCCUUCGGGUUGUAAAGUACUUUCAGCGGGGAGGAAGGGAGUAAAGUUAAUACCUUUGCUCAUUGACGUUACCCGCAGAAGAAGCACCGGCUAACUCCGUG
rnacentral:rRNA from 1 species